rnacentral:lncRNA from 1 species
UUUUGUCUUGCCUGUUCGUCUGGUACUUUCCUCUCAGAUGAGGUAAAGCAAGGCUUGUGUCCUACUGCUUGAGUCCCCAGAGGGUCCCUGAGCCAAGUUAAGCCAGGCCAGAUGCUCGACCAUGAGUGGGACGCUAGCUUCUUAGACCGGGCCUGGACAUGUGAGAUCAAGGCAAGCCGCUGCAGAUCUGUCAGAAUAGCCUAGAAGUCUACACCAGGACCACAGGGGUUCCAAGCUGAGAAUGGCAGCAGGCUUAUAGCUUAGCUACUUAGGAGGCUGAAACAGGAGGAUUGCUUUAACCUGAUAACUUUGGAAACCUUGCCAACCGGUGUCCCAUCCAGGUCCCAUCAUGGACACCAUUGUCGUUCCAACCUGUUCAGCCAUCCUGGAGAUCUCCAAAACCAAGAAAUAAGCUGCUUUUGUGAUCUAGCCAUAACGUGUUUGGAGCAGGGUGAGCCGGAGAGACCCUCUUGGCAAAGAAGAAAUGUCAUUUGGGACUUCCCCUCCCUGCUGUUCAUCUGUGGGAUCAUCUUACUGGGGUUAGCAGAGCCUCUGCCUGCAAGUGUCCCACAUUCCCCAGCCUUGGCCUUCAGCUGUGUAGAAACCGAGCCCUGAAGGAAACAGUCAUCACCCAUGGCAACAAGAACAGAUGCGGGUUCAGUGCAUCCUUCCCGGAUCCAGUCUGCACAGGGUGUUCCAGCCAGCUCUGGAGUCCCGGCCCUAUGUCACAUUCUUUCCUUCCCUACUUUCUGCUGCAGGGAUCUCAAGCCCCAACAUGGAAAUGGGAGACAGAUUUAGAAACAGCUGGAGCUCUUGUCCCUCCACUGCAGGACUUGCUUCUCCAGUCACUAAGUGUAGAUGGGGUUCUGGGGUUCAUACAUGCUCACUAAAAUCACCACUGGAAUAGCUGCCUAGCAUCCUGACGUUCCACCCAUUCUGUCUCUUCCCUUCCUCUCUUCUUUCCUUUUGGUUUAUGUUUUCAAAUCUAUGUACCGCAGUCUGGUCUUGAAUUCACUAACCAAACUAGCUUCAAACUCAGUGAUCCUUCUACCUCACUCAGUCCACCAAAGGCUAAGAUUAUAGAUGUGCACCACUGUCAAAAUCUAAAAAUAAAAGGGUAGAUAUGUAGCAGGACUGGCAGGGCUGCCUCUAUGUAAACGCUGGGGCCCAUCAGCUGCAGAAACAUUUCCUAUAGAAAGACCUAAUCGAGGACUUGCCUGAGAAGCCAAGAAUUGCUGGUGCAGACAAUGCCAGCCAAUCAGGAACGGCUGUUUAGAAGAGAUGCUUUCUUGGGACCAAUGGGGUGCGGGUGGAGGGUGUUAAAGAAGCUUGCAGCAGUGCUCAGGUGAGCUUGCUGCAGCAUUUCUCACCUGCUCCCGGAGUCUGUUUCGUUGACUCUGCGCCAACUCACCCCCAACCCCCAAGGGCAGGUAGGGUCAGGCAGAGAGAUGUCCAGGGCAGAGGUAACACACCACCAUGCCCAGCUCAUGAGGGUCUGUUGUUUGUCGGCUUGUUUAUUUCUGAGAAAAGGUCUCUGUAGCCAAGACUGGCUUUGAAGUCUGGAUCCUCCUAUAUCAGCCUAUCUUGUCCUACCUGGCUAGUGUGAGCCACCAAGCCAGGCUUCCUCCCUCCCUUUCUUCCCCUUCUUCCUCCCUCCUCUUCCUUUCUGUCUCUCUUUCGCUAUGCCAGAGAUCAAACCCAGGGCUUUGGACGUGCCAGGCAAGCAUUCAGAGACACACCCCUGGCCUCUUGGUUUUUUUGUUUGUUUUAAUUUACUUAUUUUUGAGAUCAGACUUGUCUGUCACAUUGCCUGGAACUCCCGAGAUCCAGUUUUUCUCCUGCUUCGGCUUCUAUAGUGGUUGGGAAUAUAGGGUGUUUGGAACCACACCUGGACUAACGUAUCUUUGAAAAUACGAAUUAAAGGCCAGUAGUUCAGCGGGUAAAGAAAGUUAACAACCUGAGUUUGAUUUCUAGGACUCAGAUGACACAUGUUAUCUUGCAUGUUAUCCUCUGACUUAAACACACACACAUGCGCAAACACACACACACACACACACACACACACACACACACACACACACACGCGCGCGCGCUAAAAAAACAAAAAAAAUUAUACAUUGUACUGGCUAGUUUUGUGUCAACUUGACACAGCUGGAGUUAUCACAGAGAAAGGAGCUUCAGUUGAGGAAAUGCCUCCAUGAGAUCCAGCUGCAAGGCAUUUUCUCAAUUAGUGAUCAAGGGGGAAAGGCCCCUUGUGGGUGGGACCAUCUCU